rnacentral:rRNA from 1 species
GACGAACGCUGGCGGCGUGCUUAACACAUGCAAGUCGAACGGAAAGGCCCUUCGGGGUACUCGAGUGGCGAACGGGUGGAGUAACACGUGGGGUGAUCUGCCCUGCACUUUGGGAUAAGCCUGGGAAACUGGGUCUAAUACCGGAUAGGACCACGCGCUUCAUGGUGUGUGGUGGAAAGCUUUUGCGGUGUGGGAUGGGCCCGCGGCCUAUCAGCUUGUUGGUGGGGUAAUGGCCUACCAAGGCGACGACGGGUAGCCGGCCUGAGAGGGUGACCGGCCACACUGGGACUGAGAUACGGCCCAGACUCCUACGGGAGGCAGCAGUGGGGAAUAUUGCACAAUGGGCGCAAGCCUGAUGCAGCGACGCCGCGUGAGGGAUGACGGCCUUCGGGUUGUAAACCUCUUUCAAUAGGGACGAAGCGCAAGUGACGGUACCUAUAGAAGAAGGACCGGCCAACUACGUGCCAGCAGCCGCGGUAAUACGUAGGGUCCGAGCGUUGUCCGGAAUUACUGGGCGUAAAGAGCUCGUAGGUGGUUUGUCGCGUUGUUCGUG